AUGGGAUCGAUGGGACCUGCCGCCAGGAAGCCGCACGCGGUGUGCCUGCCGUACCCGGCGCAGGGGCACAUCACCCCGAUGCUCAACGUGGCCAAGCUGCUCCACGCCCGGGGCUUCGACGUCACCUUCGUCAACACCGAGUACAACCAUGCCCGCCUCGUCCGCUCCCGCGGCCCCGCCGCCGUGGCCGGCCUCCCGGGCUUCCGCUUUGCCACCAUCCCCGACGGCCUGCCGCCGUCCGGCGACGACGACGUCACGCAGGACAUCCCUGCGCUCUGCAAGUCCACCACGGAGACCUGCCUGGGACCCUUCCGUGACCUCCUCACCCGGCUCAACGACCCCGCCACCGGCCACCCGCCCGUCACCUGCGUCGUCUCGGACGUUGUCAUGGGGUUCUCCAUGGAGGCCGCCAACGAGCUCGGCCUCCCCUACGUCCAGCUCUGGACCGCCAGCGCCAUCAGCUACCUCGGGUACCGCCACUACCGCCUCCUCAUCAACCGUGGCCUCGCCCCACUCAAAGACGCCGAGAAGCUGACGAACGGAUACCUUGACACGCCGGUGGAGGACGUGCCGGGGUUGCGGAGCAUGAGGCUCAGGGACUUCCCGUCCUUCAUACGCACCACGGACCCGGACGAGUACAUGAUGCACUACGUCCUGCGGGAGACGGAGCGCACGGCCGGCGCGUCGGCCGUCAUCCUCAACAGCUUCGACGACCUGGAGGGCGAGGCGGUGGAGGCCAUGGAGGCGCUCGGCCUGCCCAAGGUCUACACGCUCGGCCCGCUCCCGCUGCUGGCGCACGAGCAGCCGCCCACGCCGCGCUCCGCCAUCAACCUCAGCCUCUGGAAGGAGCAGGACGAAUGCCUCGAGUGGCUGGACGGCAGGGAGCCCGGCUCCGUCGUCUACGUCAACUUCGGUAGCAUCACCGUCAUGACCAACGCGCAGAUGGUGGAGUUCGCGUGGGGGCUGGCGCAGAGCGGGAAGCACUUCAUGUGGAUCGUCCGCCGAGACCUGGUGAAGGGCGACGCCGCGGUGCUCCCCGAGGAGUUCCUGGCCGAGACGGCCGGGCGCGGGCUCAUGGCGUCCUGGUGCCCGCAGCAGCAGGUGCUGGACCACCCUGCCGUGGGCACCUUCCUGACGCACAGUGGCUGGAACUCGGCGCUCGAGAGCUUGUGCGGUGGUGUGCCGGUGAUCAGCUGGCCGUUCUUCGCCGACCAGCAGACCAACUGCAGGUACCAGUGCACUGAGUGGGGCGUCGGCGUGGAGAUCGACAGCAACGUCCGGCGUGAGGCCGUCGCCGGACUUAUCACGGAGAUCAUGGAAGGGGAGAAGGGGAAAAGCAUGAGGAAGAGAGCGCGGGACUGGAAGGAGAGCACGGUCAAGGCGGCCAUGCCCGGAGGCUCGUCUCACCGAAACUUCGACGAGCUGGUCCGCGGCGUGCUCCUGCCCAAGAACUAG
rnacentral:rRNA from 1 species